rnacentral:rRNA from 1 species
AUGGCCGCUCUCUCGGUUGUGAUUCAACGCCGGAAGGUGCCCUGGGAUGGAUUCACGGAACAACGACCACUGACUAUUAAGGUGGUGAUGGACCAACACGGCAGCCAAGAUCUCCUCCUCAUCAUCGGGCGAGAAAUCGUUGGAGUCGCAAAAGAAAUUGUGAAAAAAGAACUCGUCGACGGAGUCCAUUUUGUACCUUCGAACAACUUGUGGGCAUCGACGAAGAAGCCGACCAGAAGAGGCGCCCGCCUCCCUUAUACCUGGUGGCUGGCCUGCCGGUGUCCGACGAGUGUGCCUUAA